CCGGCCGGGCAGGCGGUCGCUUGGCUUAUGCCGAGAGGAAAGUCCGGGCUCCGCAGGGCAGGACGCAGGGGAAAUCCCUGGUGCAGCAAUGCAGGGACAGUGCCGCAGAAACGAUACCUGCGCCUCAGGCGCAAGGGUGAAAAGAGGCAAACCCCGUCCGGUGCAAGGCCUAAUAGGAAGAACAGCCUCUGGCUGGGGAGCUGCCCGUUCCCUCUGUUCUUCGGGUUGGCCGCUUAAGGUGUCCGGUAACGGGCAUCUCAGACGGAUGGCCGCCGUUGCGAAAGCAAUACAGAACCCGGCUUACAGCCCGACCGGAUCC
rnacentral:RNase_P_RNA from 1 species